rnacentral:tRNA from 6 species
GGUGGUUGUAGCUCAGUUGGUUAGAGCGCUGGAUUGUGGUUCCAGAGGUCGCCGGUUCGAGCCCGGUCUUCCACCC